GCCGCUGUAAGCCCGGUGCAGCUGCGGGAGGAGGCUGCAGACCCUGGACAGAGCCCCAGGAUCCUGCUCCUGUGGGAGGACGGUGCAAGACCCCCUGGGCGUCAACUGAAAAACACCUUGGCCUGGGCUGCACCCAGGAAUCCUGCCUCGGGGCAGCAUCUCGAGGUUUCUCACGGCCAAUGGGAUGGGACUGCCAUCCACCAACAUGUGAAACCUGUGGCUGCAGGAUUCGGUGGCUCACGCCUGUCAUCCCAGCAUUUUGGGAGGCCAGGAUGGGCAGAUUGCCUGAGGUCAGGAGUUCGAGACCAGCCUGGGUAACAUGAUAAAACUCUAUCUCUACUAAAAUAUACAUAAAAAAUCAGCCAGGUGUGGUGGGGCACGCCUGUAAUCUCAGCUACAUGGGAGGCUGAAGUAUGAGAAUCGCUUGAACCCGGGAGGCGGAGGUUGCAGUGAGCUGAGACCAUGCCACUGCACUCCAGCCUGGGCAACAAACUGAAACUGUCUGGGCGGGGGGGGACUGACUGCUGGGCACAGUGGCUCAUCAUGUCAUCCCAGGACUUUGGGAGGCCGAGCCAAGAGGAUUGCUGGAGGCCAGGAGCUCAAGACCACCCUGGGCCAUAUAGGGAGACCCAAUCUCUACAAAAAAUUUAAAUUAACUGGGUUAGGGUUAGUACCUUUGGUCCCAGCUACUGGGGCAGCUGAGGCAGGAGGAUCACGUGAGCCCAGGAGUUUAAGACCAGACUGGGCAACAUAGCAAAAUCUAUCUAGUGAAAAAUAAAACAGGCGGGGCACGGUGGCUGAAUGCGUGUAAUCCCAGCACUUUGGGAUCACAGGGUCAGGAGUUCAAGACCAUCCUGGCCAAGAUGGUGAAACCCCGUCUCUACAUGCCUGUAAUCCCAGGUACUUGGGACGCUGAGGCAGAGCAUUGCUUGAACCCAGGAGGCUGAGGUUGCAGUGAGCGGAGAUAGUGUGCCUGCAUACAUCUUGAGAUGCAAGACUCCAUCCCCUCCCCAAAAAAAAAAAUUCCAGGCGCAGUGGCUCACGCCUGUAAUCCCAGCACUUUGGGAGGCCGAGGCGGGUGGAUCACCAGAAGUCAGGAGUUUGAGACCAGCCUGACCAACAUGGGAAAACCCCAUCUCUAUUAAAAAUAAACAUUUAAAAAAUUAGCUGGGCGUGGUGGUGCAUGCCGGUUUUCCCAGCCACUGGGGAGGUUGAGGUGUGAGGAUCUCGAGCCCAGUGGGAUGAAGCUACAGUGAGCCACGAUCAAGCCACUGAACUCCAGCCUGGUGGCCAAACAAGACCCUGUCUCCAAAAAAAAACAAACCCUAUAGCAGUCCUGUGAGAUUCUGCCCUCAAGGGACAAACCACAGCUUCUAGAGGAAACUCAGGCCCUCAGGACUGGGGAGGGGAAAACUGGAGGCCAGGGAUGAAUCUCAGCUCCCUGCAGUGACCGGGAUGACCCCACCCCCGAGAAUCAUCCGGCUCCAACAUCCACACUGCCAAGCGGGGGACCCUAGGCCAAAGGAGGAGAGUGGAGCCAGGGGGAGGGGAGGACCACUCUGGUCAGGGUACCCGACCCCUGGAUGCCAUCUGAUUCAAUGUCACAACCACAGAUGUCCCCGGAUAUGGGCUAAUGUCACCUGUGGGGUCAACAGGUCUUGUGCUGGGUCCUUCCCCAUGUGCACUGCGGCCCCAUGCCCUGUGGGCCCCUUGGAUGCCAUCCCAGCAUCAUCUGCCCCAGCCACAGCACCGCCUUUCUGCUCCCGGAACAACCGAGCUGCCCCCUCCACCUCGGUAGCUUCCUUUCCUGCUGUCGCUGCCUUCCUGGGGGCUUUACACAACUGUCUCCCCAUUGGUCAGGACAGCGCCCAGGGGGAAUGGCCUUCCUGCCCAGCCCACAUCCCCCUCUGCACACAGACUGUUUUGCCAUCUUUGUGUCCCCUGCCUUGGACUUUUUUGAGACAGAUUUGCUCUGUUGCCCAGGCUGGAGUGCAGUGGCGCGUUCUUGGCUCACUGCAACGUCUACCUCCUGGGUUCAAGUGAUUCUCCUGCCUCAGCCUCCCAAGUAGCUGGGACUACAAGCGCGCGCCACCGCUCCCAGCUAAUAUUUGUAUUCUCAGUAGAGACGAGCUUUCAGCCUGUUGGCCAGGAUGGUCUUGAUCUCUUGACCUCGUGAUCCACCCUCCUCGGCCUCCCAAUAUGCUGAGAUUACAGGCUUGAGCCACUGCGCCCGGCCUACCCGCUGUCUUUAAGGAUCUGAUCUAGCUCUGCCCACCUCGCCAGGACACAAGCCCCAAGAGUGCAGAGCCAUGGCCGUUGGUAACACUGAGGGACAUCAUCUCCUAGGUGCUCAGUAGGUACGUGCAGCCGGGGGAGUCCCAGGCGGGAGUUCUACAAAGUGCCCUGGGGCAGGGGCAGCAGUAGGGGGAAGCUCUUACCAGCUUGAAGCAGUCGUGGAGCUGGGCCAGAGUGUCCCUGGCUUGGAACUGGCCAUGCUGCAGGUGGCUCACUGCGUGUUCAAAUGCCCGCUGGCGGAAGCUGGGAGCCAGGUCACCCAAACGAACAAAGUAGCUCCCCUGUUCGGCUGACAGCACCUUUGGCCCGGGCUGGGAGGCAGCCAGCUGAGCUGGAAAGGAAGACAUGCUACUGUCAGGAGCCCCUCAGGGUGUUGGGGCUUGGGCUUGAUUUUGAUUAUUUAUUUAUUUUUUUUAAAAGAUGGGUUUUCACCAUGUUGCUCAGGCUGGUCUUGAACUUCCCACCUCAGGUGAUCCGCCUGCCUUGGCCUCCAAAGCGCCUGGAUUACAGACGGGAGCCACCACAUCCGGCCAGGGCUUGGGCUUUAUAAAAGUCAAGUGAAGCCAGGCAUGAUCGCUCAUGCCUGUAAUCCCAGCCUUUUGGGAGGCCAAGGCGGGUGGGUGGGCGGAUCGAUCAUGAGGUCAGGAGUCAGACCAGCCUGGCCAACAUGGUGAAACCCUGUCUCUACUAAAAAUACAAAAAAGACCAGGCAGUGGCGCGUGCCUGUAAUCUCAGCACUUUGGGAGUUCAAGGCAGGUGGAUCACAAGGUCAGGAGUUUGAGACCAGCCUGUCCAAUAUGGUGAAACCCCAUUUCUACUAAAAAAUACAAAAAUUUUCUGAAUGUGGUGGCGCACGCCUGUAGUCCCAGCUACUAAGGAGGCUGAGACAGGAGAAUCACUUCAACCCGGAAAGCACAGAGGCCACACUGAGUCAGCACGGCCACUGCACCCCAGCAUGGGUGAGAACAGUGAGACUGUCUCAAAAAUAAAAAGAAAACUGGGUGUGGUGUGGUGGUGCAUGCCUGUGAUCUUGGCACUUUGGGAGUCUGAGGCCAGAGAAAUGCUUGAACCCAGGAGUUUGAGACCAGCCUGGGCAGCAUAGGGAGACCCGUCUCUACCUAAAAUACAUAGCUGUACAUAGCUGGGCAUGGCGGUCCUAGAUACUGGAGAGGCUGAAGCAGUGGGAUCACUUGAGCCCAGGAGGUUGAGGCUGUAGCAGGCUGUGAACACACCACUGCCCUCCAGUAUGGACGACAGAAUAAGACCUUUUCUCUAAAAAAAAGGAAAAAGGGCUGGGCACUCUUGCAUGUAAUCCCAACAUUUUGGGAGGCCAAGGCAGGAGGAUCGUUUGAACCCAGGACCAGCCUCCUCAACAUAGUGAGAUCCCCGUCUGAAGUAAACCAAAUAAAAAAAAAAAAAAAAAAAAAAAAAAAGCA